rnacentral:rRNA from 1 species
GAUGAACGCUGGCGGCGUGCCUAGUACAUGCAAGUCGAGCGAACAGACGAGGAGCUUGCUCCUCUGACGUUAGCGGCGGACGGGUGAGUAACACGUGGAUAACCUACCUAUAAGACUGGGAUAACUUCGGGAAACCGGAGCUAAUACCGGAUAACAUGUUGAACCGCAUGGUUCAACAGUGAAAGACGGUCUUGCUGUCACUUAUAGAUGGAUCCGCGCCGCAUUAGCUAGUUGGUAAGGUAACGGCUUACCAAGGCAACGAUGCGUAGCCGACCUGAGAGGGUGAUCGGCCACACUGGAACUGAGACACGGUCCAGACUCCUACGGGAGGCAGCAGUAGGGAAUCUUCCGCAAUGGGCGAAAGCCUGACGGAGCAACGCCGCGUGAGUGAAGAAGGUCUUCGGAUCGUAAAACUCUGUUAUUAGGGAAGAACAAAUGUGUAAGUAACUAUGCACGUCUUGACGGUACCUAAUCAGAAAGCCACGGCUAACUACAUG